rnacentral:rRNA from 1 species
GAUGAACGCUGGCGGCGUGCUUAACACAUGCAAGUCGAACGGAAAGGCUCCUGCUUGCAGGGGUGCUCGAGUGGCGAACGGGUGAGUAACACGUGGGUGAUCUGCCCUGCACUUCGGGAUAAGCCUGGGAAACGGGGUCUAAUACCGGAUAGGACGAUGGUUUGGAUGCCAUUGUGGAAAGUUUUUUCGGUGUGGGAUGAGCUCGCGGCCUAUCAGCUUGUUGGGGGGGUAAUGGCCUACCAAGGCGUCGACGGGUAGCCGGCCUGAGAGGGUGGACGGCCACAUUGGGACUGAGAUACGGCCCAGACUCCUACGGGAGGCAGCAGUGGGGAAUAUUGCACAAUGGGCGGAAGCCUGAUGCAGCGACGCCGCGUGGGGGAUGACGGCCUUCGGGUUGUAAACUCCUUUCGCUAGGGACGAAGCGAAAGUGACGGUACCUGGAGAAGAAGCACCGGCUAACUACGUG